rnacentral:rRNA from 2 species
UACGGAGGGUGCAAGCGUUAUCCGGAUUCACUGGGUUUAAAGGGUGCGUAGGCGGACUUGUAAGUCCGUGGUGAAAUCUCCGAGCUUAACUCGGAAACUGCCAUGGAUACUAUAGGUCUUGAAUGUUGUGGAGGUUAGCGGAAUAGUUCAUGUAGCGGUGAAAUGCUUAGAUAUGACCUAGAACACCGAUUGCGAAGGCAGCUGGCUACACAACGAUUGACGCUGAGGCACGAAAGCGUGGGGAUCAAACAGG